UGAACGGCUAAAUGAGGAUCACACUGUCUCUUGUAAUCGACCUAUGAAACUGAUCUUGUAGUCCAAAAGCUACAAUAAAAACACCAGACGAGAAGACCCUGUGGAGCUUUAAACCAAAACCAAAUUAAUGACCACUUGGUUUUUAGUUGGGGCAACUUCGGAGAAUAAAUCAACCUCCGAUAAAAUUUAAGCUAAGACAAACAAGUCCAGGCAACUUACUUGACCCAAUAGACUAGCGCAGACUAUUUGACCAAUGAACCAAGUUACCCCAGGGAUAACAGCGCUAUCCCCUUUCAGAGUCCCUAUCGACAAGGGGGCUUACGACCUCGAUGUUGGAUCAGGACACCCUAAUAAUGCA
rnacentral:rRNA from 1 species